AAAGCUGGGUGUCUUGUGAAGGACUCUCUCACUUCUGUGACUGCCGCCAGCAAGUCGGCUAUGACAAACUCCAAGAAGUGACUCCUCAAAAGGGAUUUCCCUAAAGAUGGAGGAAGAGCUCCACGACUAGGAUAACACCGUGUUCCAAGCAGACACAGUUGCUUGGAGACAUUUGUGGAUGAGCCAUAAAUGGAAUUGAAUGCUAUCUCCACUCCAAUUUUUCUUCCUCCUCAUACUCCGGCACACAAAAAAACUAUUGUAGAAGGCAGCUGUGGAGGUUGCCAGAAAGCCAGCAAACCCAUAUUAACGACAUGACCCUUUAUGAUACACGUUUAUUUAUAUUCAGUGAAGUAGGUUACUGACAAUUUGGCCAUUAAUUUGCUGUUUAUAAAUCGUAUUUUCCUUGUGUAGUAACCACAAGACUUUGACAUUCACAGUUGUGCUGAAAGAAACAAGUUUAUUAAAGAAGGCGAAGGAGGGAGAAAAGAUCAGUCCUUUAAAGUUCACCAAAUUGCACAUGUCAACCACUAACCAGUGCACCUGGCUGCCCAGAAAUUCUAAGAUUAUUUACCCUUGGAUGCCAAAGACAUCAUCCCUGAAGCAGUGGGAAGGAGAGCAGAAGGAAAGGAUCAUCAGGAAAAAUGCAACAUGCACCACGGACAAGGGUCAUCAAGUGCUAUUUAAACCAUCACAGAUGGUCAAAAGAUCUCCAGAUAGUCCACACUGAUGGGACACAUGGAAUCAGCCCAGUACCUCUUCCAAUAGGAACCCAUAGAAACAUGAACACAGCUUUCAUGGCCUAACUCU